AGCGAACGCUGGCGGCAGGCUUAACACAUGCAAGUCGAGCGGGCACUUCGGUGUCAGCGGCAGACGGGUGAGUAACACGUGGGAACGUACCCUUUGGUUCGGAAUAACGCUGGGAAACUAGCGCUAAUACCGGAUACGCCCUUUUGGGGAAAGGCUUGCUGCCGAAGGAUCGGCCCGCGUCUGAUUAGCUAGUUGGUGGGGUAAUGGCCUACCAAGGCGACGAUCAGUAGCUGGUCUGAGAGGAUGAUCAGCCACACUGAGACUGAGACACGGCCCAGACUCCUACGGGAGGCAGCAGUGGGGAAUAUUGGACAAUGGGCGCAAGCCUGAUCCAGCCAUGCCGCGUGAGUGAUGAAGGCCUUAGGGUUGUAAAGCUCUUUUGUCCGGGACGAUAAUGACGGUACCGGAAGAAUAAGCCCCGGCUAACUUCGUG
rnacentral:rRNA from 1 species